CCGAGACUUCGUGGCGGCCAACUCGUUCAGCCCUUUCGUCUUCUGGCUGCUCUACUGCUUCCCGGUGUGUCUACAGUUCUUCACCCUCACGCUCAUGAACUUGUACUUCACGCAGGAUUGCUUCACCAGGGCAGUCUGGUGGCACACCCAACUCCGCAGUUGCAGGAGGCUUUUGACUUGCUAUCUGAGCUCAUCGGAGAAGCCCCAAGAAAUAAGCCAUAAAAUUGAACCUGGACUCUUUUACAGGACCAGCAGCUUCGUUUUAUGAGACCUGUAGUUAAUAAGCGAAAGGGUUGCACGAGGGCUCUUGCGGCUGUCUUAAUGAAAGUACAGUGAUUGCAGAAGGCUUUACAAGCACCGAGUAAAGCAUUUCUCAAACGCUU
rnacentral:lncRNA from 1 species